GCUCACGUACCCCAAUUGGCAGAGGGUGUCGGCUGAGACCCGGCAUACGUGGAGGUUCAAGUCCUCUCGUGAGCACCA
rnacentral:tRNA from 1 species